rnacentral:lncRNA from 1 species
GGCUCUAGAGGGCAGGGAGUGCGACUGCCGGGGUCCACGGAGGUUGGGACCCAUGAUCAUAUAGGUAAUUAGUAUAUAUAAUUUUCUAUUUGACACAGUAAGUAUUUGAAGACCCAUCACAAAGCAGCCUAUGCCGUAGAUAACUCUCCCUUCCAGUCCUAUUCUAUGUAACCUGAUCUAUCGAGCGGAGGGCAGGCCGCAGGCGAC